AUUACAAUAAAAAUAGAAUUAAAUUAGAGGUUAUCUAAUAUCCGAGUGAUAAAAUGUUUAUGAAAAGUUUGAUGUGAAAAGUUAUUCGUUUUAUUUUAUUCAAUAUCAAUAUAUAAUGUUUGUGAUAUAAUGAUAAUGCAAUUUAUACAAGUACUGUUUCGGGAUGAACUUCAAAUAUAUUUUAUGAUUAAAACGAUUUUUUUUAACGAUGGGGUAAAUUUAUCUCCAAGAAAAUAGUCACAAGAUAAUGUAAACAGCUUAUAAAAACAAUACAAAUAACUACCAAGCGCCUCCGCCAAUCUAUAUAUUAACAUACUAGAAUAGGACCGGCUUCACGGUAUAUAUGUAUAUUUAUUUAAAGAUUAAAAAUAUACUGCGAUCUUUCUGAUGAUCUACUAUAACUUGCAUGAGCAAAAAAUACAAAAACAUAAAAAAUAACGAAAAGAUUAUGAUCAAGUUUAAUUUCUUGGAAAAUAUAAAAUUAUUGCUACGCCACUGGCGAUUGAAAACGGACGUAUCUAAGUCGAUGACGUAAUCGUUCGAAAUGAUUCAUUCUGACAUAUUAAAAUUUUUAGUACAACAAUUAUAGAUAUUAAAAUAAUAGUUAAAAGAUAUAAAUUAUACAGUUGAUUUUUAUGUAAAAUCGUAUGCCAGCUGUGGUGAGUACGCAAUAACGAACAAGUUAUACUCAAACUUAACGAGAUUUAUUUUUUGAAAAAGUUAUGAACUCAUAACGGAUAAAAGAGUACGCUACAUUGAAUAAAGCACCUUUUCGGAAUUUACCGACCAAUUUUACGCCUUAAACGUUCCACAAGUUUUAAUCUUUGUAUCAAUCUAUUCUUUUUCUUCUUAAAAUUCAUACCGACAUGACCAUAGAUGCAGAAAGGGAAAAAAGGAAUUAAAAUUUCAUACUGACGUAACAAUAGACGUAGGAGGAGGUAGCGACCAUAGAUAAAGUAUAUUUUAUGACAAUGGUAAACAAAUAAGACUCUUAUUAACAUUUGUUGUUAUUAUUAUUAUAAUAUGUAAUUUACCUUUUAUAUUGUUCCUUAUAAUUCCUCUUCUUUUUCAUAUUUAUAUUGAUCAAAGAAAAACUAUUUUCUACACUAGUUACCUUUAACAUUUUGACAGUUGUAUUGUAUUAUCUUUAACGUCUAAAUAAAUUUAAAUGCAGUAAUCUAACUCGUUAUAAUAUUUUCUAAUUAAUUUCAGUAAAACUAUCAAAUUUUUACAGUAAAUAAUUAUGUCACGUUGUGGAAUACAUUAAAUCGUAAACUAAUCUCAUACCACGAUUGACUCAUUGAAAAUUCUUCUUUUUUACAAUUUGUCAUUUACAAGUCACAUUCACAUCAACCGCGUAUGAUCAAUUUUAUGUAUAUUCAUUUUUAAUAAGAAAAAUGUUGAAAUCUAGAAUAUUUUAUAACUUUUAUCCAUAUUUUAAAGGUAAUACGUUAAAAUUUAUCACAAUUUAUCAUAUUUCAAAUUAUUAUAUUCUAUUUUUCUAUUGUAAAACCGUCUUAUAGUUCGUGAUUCCAGAUCCCUCUACCGCUAUUUUUUCGCAUAGGAAUGUAAUGACACAUAACACUUACAAACGCUGAAAUGGUAACAUCCCAACCGAACUUUGUCCACAUUUUAUUUGUAAGAGACGAAUUUCCCUUGAUACAUCGUUUUUAAGUUACAAGUCUUUAUAGGAUUAUCAUUAUAAAUACACUCUAUUCAAUUCUAAUGAUGUAAAUUGAAUCAAUAUAAAUAUGAUCAGGUAAAA